CGUUAUAGUUUACUUGAUAAUUGAAUUCUACAAGGAUAACCGUAGUAAUUCUAGAGCUAAUACUUGCUAUCAAACCUGACUUCACGGAAAGGUUGUAUUUAUUAGAUACCAAACCAAUAGUUCGCGAGAAUUGUUGUGAUGAUUCAUAAUAACUGAUCGGAGCAUGACUAGUCAUGCUAAAUCAUUCAAGUUUCUGCCCUAUCACCUAGAUGGUAGUGUAUUGGACUACCAUGGGAAUAACGGGUACGCGGAAUUAGGGUUUGAUUUGCGGAGAGGGAGCCUGAGAAACGGCUACCACUUCUAAGGAAGGCAGCAGGCGCGCAAAUUACCCAAUCCCAAUUCGGGGAGGUAGUGACAAGAAAUAAUGACUCGGGGUCUCACGACUUACGGGAUCAAAAUGAGAACAAUUUAAAAAACUUAGCGAGGAACAAUUGGAGGGCAAGUUCUGGUGCCAGCAGCCGCGGUAAUUCCAGCUCCAAUAGCGUAUAUUAAAGUUGUUGCAGUUAAAAAGCUCGUAGUCGAUAUUCUAAGUACUCUCCUGUGGGUCUAACUCAUUCGAGAAUACUUAUCAGCUCGAAAACUUUAUCGGCCUUCACUGGUUCGAUAUUGCAGAUCGGGCAUUUUACUGAGAAAAAAUUAGAGUGUUCAAAGCAGGCUAUUGUCUUGAAUACACAAGCUUGGAAUAAUAGAAUAAGACUAAUAUCUUUUUUGUUGGUUAUAAGAUUUAGUAAUGGUUAAUAGAAACAGUUGGGGGCAUUAGUAUUUAAUUGUCAGAGGUGAAAUUCUUGGAUUUAUUAAAGACUAACUUAUGCGAAAGCAUUUGCCAAGGAUGUUUUCAAUUGAUCAAGAACGAAAGUUAGGGGAUCAAAGACGAUCAGAUACCGUCCUAGUCUUAACUAUAAACGAUUCCGACUAUGGAUCGGAAGAGUCAUUUUAGCUCUUUCGGCACAUUAUGAGAAAUCAUAAGUCUUUGGGUUCCGGGGGAAGUAUGGACGCAAGUCUGAAACUUAAAGGAAUUGACGGAAGGGCACACCAGGAGAGGAACUUGCGGCUUAAUUUGACUCAACACGGGGAAACUUACCAGGUCAAGACAUGGGUAGGAUUGACAGAAAUGAGAGCUCUUUCUUGAUUCUAUGGGUGGUGGUGCAUGGCCGUUCUUAGUUGGUGGAGUGAUUUGUCUGGUUAAUUCCGUUAACGAACGAGACCUUAACCUGCUAAAUAGGAGCCUGAUGUUCAAUCGGGUGUCCUUCUUAGAGGGACUAUGCGUGCAAACGCAUGGAAGUUUGAGGCAAUAACAGGUCUGUGAUGCCCCUAGACGUCCUGGGCCGCACGCGCGUUACAAUGACACGGUCAGCAAGUAUUUCCUGCCUCGAUAGAGGUUCGGGUAACCUUAUUAGUCCGUGUCGUAGUGGGAACUGUCCUUUGCAAUUAUAGGACACGAACUAGGAUUUCCUAGUAUAGGUGCGUCAUCACCGCACCUAGAUUAAGUCCCUGCCCUUUGUACACACCGCCCGUCGCUCCUACCGAUUGAGUGAUUCGGUGAACCUUCUGGACUAGGUAAGUCUUCAUGGCUUAUCUGGGAAGUUAAGUAAACCAUUAUCACUUAGAGGAAGGAGA
rnacentral:rRNA from 1 species